ACAUACUUGGUUAGAAAAUCCUAGCCUGGGACUUGGAAGUGAUGGGUCCUGUUUGGGACACCCAAGUUGCUAUAAAGGGGUACAACGUGUGUUCAGUUCCAGUCCCUGGAUCAUCAGGCAAGGUCUGAAAACCUCUGUUUGAGACGGCAUAAAUUCCCAGGACUGCAGACCACUGGACCAAACUUCUAGGAGGCAAGACUUGUGGACCCUGGUGAGAACCCAAGCCAAACCUUUCAUGGGGCCAGUCUUGGGAGAAACUGGCCCUGCUUGGCUGGCUUCUGCUACCGUCACUCAUCCUUUCUAAGUGAGGGCAGCCUUGAGGCCACAAAACAAAGGCCAAAAUGGCUUCAAGGACAGUAAGCUCAAGGUUUCAAAAGACUGUGACUUCCGUUCUGCUGGCUGACCCUCUCUCCAGCCUUCUCAGCUUGCAUAUCUCCAUGAAGCAAGCUGCCAUGUUGGCAAGACCUACGUGGCAAGGAUUUGAGAGCAUCCUCUGGCCAGCAGCAAGCUAGAAACCGAGGCCCUCAGUCCAACAACCAUCAAGGGACUGAAUUCUGCCAACAAACACGUGAACUUGGAUGUGGAUCCUUCCCCAGGCCUUCUCCUACUGCAACCCUUUCCUUCUGGAAUGUCUGUGGACAACACAACAUCAAACUCCCCAUUCCUGGCUCCAGGGCAAGAAUCUCUGAGUCCUUUGGGAAGUGCAGUGCUGGGAUCAUUUUCCUGUUGUCAGCGGCUCUGGAAGAGGCAUUAGCCCCACAAGGCUUGAUGUGGGAAGUUUUUACAGCCCCGACCUCUGCCAUCCCCCAACACACAGACACACACAGUGUUAUUUCCAGGGAAGAGGAGGAUAGUCCUGGUCAAUAGCAGUGGACACACUGGAGGUUUCCCCUCAAGGGGGACCUUUAUGCGAAGAUGCUCCCAACCUCAUCACAUCUGGGACCUUUUUGCGAAGAUGCUCCCAACCUCAUCACAUCUGGGACCUUUUUGCGAAGAUGCUCCCAACCUCAUCACAUCUGGCCAAAGUGCUUUUAGUCACAAGCGGCAGAACUCAGUUCACAGGAACGCAUAUGAAAAGUGGAUGUAGAGAUAACUAUGAGGGAUAUGAGACUUUAAUUAAACAAAGUACCCGGCCUCGUCAUUCUCUCUCCUCCUGGGCUGUGGUCUCUUAGCUCAGCCUUUCUCUCUUCGUGACUUUGGUUUGCCUAUGGUUUUAUAACAUAGCCCUAACAAGUAAGUCCUCCUUGAUCAUGACAUUUACUUGAGCUCCCUAUGACCAAACAGAGUCUGCUUUUUAAUUUCUGCUUUUUAAUUUCAAACUCUUAAGAGAGAAAAACCGGAUGGCUGUUUAUUGCCAACACAUUGGCUGGCCUUGGGUACUUAUUCCUGGUCUAGUUAGCCGCGGCUGAGGAGCAGAGCAUGUGGUAUGAAACACAUAUAAGGUAGCAGGGGCUGAAAGUGGGAAACAACUUCUCUGAGAAGCAACCCAAGCUGGUAUUCCACCCAAGGUGUGCCUGAUGCACCCCCUGUGUGGUUCUGGGAUUCACCCGAGGGACAGGUAAUAGCCGUCCUCAGUGACUGUCUCGGCAGAGGCUGGGCUUGGAGCUCAAAGGCCAGGGAAGCAGCAGGUCCACUGAUGCAGCUGCCACCUCCACAGCAUGCUGGGGACAUGGUGACAUUCUCCUAAGAGCACUUACAGAGACAGUGUCCUGUGAAAGCAGCGCUGGACUGGGAGUUGGCAGUCCUGGCUUGUGAUCCAGCUCGGCUGCUAACCCCCAUGACCCCGGGGAACUGACCUUCUUCCUCUAGGUCUUAGAUUCUCCAGAAGUUAAAAAUGAAUUUAAAAACCAUUAUUAUUAACAAUAAUAAACAGCGUUGAAUGAAA